rnacentral:ncRNA from 1 species
CAACCUCAACUCAUAUGGGACUACCCCCUGAAUUUAAGCAUAUUAAUUAGGGGAGGAAAAGAAACUAACAAGGAUUUUCUUAGUAGCGGCGAGCGAAAAGAAAUUCAUUUCCCCACUAAGUCACUUUUGUCUAUAUGGCAAAUGUGAGAUGGCAUGGAUUGGAGCGUCAAUAUUUCCUAUAUGAGAAAUUAACGAUUUAAUUCCCCUUCUUAAAUUGAGGCCCAUUACCCCCAAAAAGGGGGGCCAGGGCCCCGUUUACCGUUUAUGAUUUCCUUAAUAUAAUUUUUUCCAAAGAAGUCUUGGGUGUCCUGGUUUAGUGUCACCCCCCCUAAGUUGGGGGGGGUUAAUAC